rnacentral:rRNA from 1 species
CCUACGGGGGGCAGCAGUGGGGAAUAUUGGACAAUGGGGGCAACCCUGAUCCAGCCAUGCCGCGUGUGUGAAGAAGGCCUUCGGGUUGUAAAGCACUUUCAGCGAGGAAGAACGCCUGGUGGUUAAUACCCAUCAGCCAUGACAUUACUCACAGAAGAAGCACCGGCUAACUCCGUGCCAGCAGCCGCGGUAAUACGGAGGGUGCGAGCGUUAAUCGGAAUUACUGGGCGUAAAGCGCGCGUAGGUGGCUUGAUAAGCCGGUUGUGAAAGCCCCGGGCUCAACCUGGGAACGGCAUCCGGAACUGUCAAGCUAGAGUGCAGGAGAGGAAGGUGGAAUUCCCGGUGUAGCGGUGAAAUGCGUAGAGAUCGGGAGGAAUACCAGUGGCGAAGGCGGCCUUCUGGACUGACACUGACGCUGAGGUGCGAAAGCGUGGGUAGCAAACAGGAUUAGAUACCCCAGUAGUC